rnacentral:misc_RNA from 1 species
GAUGAAGAACGUAGCGAAAUGCGAUACUUGGUGUGAAUUGCAGAAUCCCGUGAACCAUCGAGUCUUUGAACGCACAUUGCGCCCCCUGGUAUUCCGGGGGGCAUGCCUGUCCGAGCGUCAUUGCUGCCCUCAAGCACGGCUUGUGUGUUGGGCCCCCGCCCCCCGGUUCCCGGGGGGCGGGCCCGAAAGGCAGCGGCGGCACCGCGUCCGGUCCUCGAGCGUAUGGGGCUUCGUCACCCGCUCCGUAGGCCCGGCCGGCGCCCGCCGGCGACCCCCCCUCAAUCUUUCCAGGUUGACCUCGGAUCAGGUAGGGAUACCCGCUGAACUUAAGCAUAUCAAUAAGCGGAGGA